CUCGUCCUUGUCAGGUGGUUGUGUGCCCAGAAUGGCAUUCACAAGUCUGGAGUCUACGUAACUUGAGACUGACUGCCUGUGAAUGCCGCUAAGGACCUGUC